rnacentral:rRNA from 1 species
GAGUUUGAUCUUGGCUCAGAUUGAACGCUGGCGGCAUGCCUUACACAUGCAAGUCGAACGGCAGCACGGGAGCUUGCUCCUGGUGGCGAGUGGCGAACGGGUGAGUAAUGCAUCGGAACGUAUCCUGGAGUGGGGGAUAACGUAGCGAAAGUUACGCUAAUACCGCAUAUUCUGUGAGCAGGAAAGCGGGGGACCUUCGGGCCUCGCGCGUCCUUGGAGCGGCCGAUGUCGGAUUAGCUAGUUGGUGAGGUAAAGGCUCGACCAAGGCGACGAUCCGUAGCAGGUCUGAGAGGAUGGAUCUGCCAC